CUAGAAGAGAGACACUGCAGGCAGGCGUGCAUGCUUUCUCUCCUGGGCUUGUACACUACACACAGUUUCGAAGGCAUUUUAAGGAGGUUUCCCACUUCCAGCCCUGAUAUUGCAAAGUGGAGGAAGAUCCCUUGAGAAGGCUGACACUGUGCAACUGUGCAAUUGCAGAAAAAUAAAAUACAAUAUGCAUGUACCAUAUUAGGUACAGUAAACAUGGGUAAGAAAUGAGAAUGGGCAUAAGACUGAUUGCAGGAAUUUACAUCACCAGAGAAUUUACAUCAUGCAAUUGAAGCAGGUAGUGAAAGUGAUUGUUCUAAUAACUGUAGGUUUCACUUUACUUAAACCGCAUGAAAACCACGAGACAACAAGCUGAUGUGAUAAUGUUCUUAUUGUGAAAGGGCCCCCAGUCAUAGAGAAAGGUAAGAACUUUGGUGGAUUGACUGAAUCAUAGAAUCAUAGAAUUGGAAAAA
rnacentral:lncRNA from 11 species